rnacentral:lncRNA from 1 species
CGCCACCGCCACCUGUUGCUUUAGAUCGGCUACAAAAUGUUCCCUUUUUGGCCUUUUGCCCAGGUCUCCCCAUCUGCCCUGGCCUACCAGGGCGGUGCCCAGAUUUAUAGGUCCACGGACAUUCCUCCAGCCCCGCCCGGAGACUCUCCACCCUCCCGGCGCCCGCCCCAGUACACCCUCUGAGGCUGAGCGGAACGGGAAGCUGGGGUGAUGGGAGCAAGAGAGUGGUGGAAGGUCUGGGCUGCCUCCUAGAGGGUUCCAGACUUAGAGGCUGGGUAGGAAGAACUUAAGUCUCUCUUUGGAACGUGAGCGCGACCUCCUAAUAAGGAGGGCUAGAUUGGACCCAUGUUAAUACUUUGAGUCUCGAAUCCUGCACUUUUAAAAUGCCUGGACCUGGACGCAGCAAACCAAUCCAAGGCACCUUCUUCCAGUUUGUAGCCUAUCUUUAUACUCCCUUUAAGAUACAUUCUGGGGCUGGAGAGAUGGCUGGGCUAGAGAGAUGGAUCAUCGGUUAAGAGCACUGACUGCUCUU